rnacentral:lncRNA from 1 species
CGCCGCCGCCGCCGCCGCCUCCCGGCGCCGGGUCCCGCAGCCGCGGCUGAGUCCCUCUCCUCAGGACCGAGCCGACUGAAAUGACAACCAGCUGGAAAGACCGAGAGACACUUCCGGUUCGAGGAGGGAGGGGCGGGGCGCCGCCGACGCCCCGCCCACCCGCCGGAAGGCCAGUCCGCGGCUAGCAUUUAGGCGAGGCCACGCCCCCGGCUCAGAUCCCCGCCCAGGAAGGUCGGAAAGUCGCCUCGAGAGACUGCCUUUCCGUCUGCGCCUGGCCCGGGGAGGCCCGGCGCCCGCUCACCACCCCGAGUGAGCGCUGCGGAUCGCCAUCUUUAGUGUGGGCAAAGGACAGCUGCGCUGUUUAUCCGCCCCAACCACUCUUUGCAGGAGAUGCGUAUAGAGACACGCGGAAGAGAACAGAUGCCCCGAGCACCACGGGAAAGAGUCAAGGUUUUGGGGAUCAGAGUGGCGACCCGUCAAACCUCGGAUGAACGGGAGGACUGCCCAUAGUAAAGUGGAAGAUGUGGCCGUCUGGAUUCUCACGUAUGGCAAGUUCAGGCUGGAGUUGAGUGGCCACUGCUGUUCGUAAGAUGGGGCAUCUGCUCUCCAGUUCACCGUAGUCCCUACACGCCCAAAUGACAGUGCUGCCCUAAGACACAGCCUUCUUCUGUUAAGCUCUGUAUGAAGAAUGCUGCAUACACUUGGCCCCCUCCCUUUCGAAGCUGACAGACUUGCUGUUCGGUUGGCAGUCCACAAACGUCGCUCAGGUGAUGCCCAGAUGCUGUGCACCAUUGAGAUCCUGAGCCUAACCAAUGGAACAGGGGAGAGAUGACUACAUUCCAAAUUGCAAUAAGCAUGACAAGCCAAUGAGAAAGGGUGCCAUGGGGACACGGAAGAGAGACUGCCUUACUCAGCCUGGGCUCCCAGGAAGGCUUCCAAGAAGAAGGGAUAUUUGAGUGCUGUCUGGAAAGCUGAGCCGAGAGUUGGCAGGUGCGGAAAGGAAUCGGGUGUCAGGUUGAGGCCCCUUGAGGGUGUGGCUGGUGAAGAGGAGAGCACCUGCCCCACAUUCAUUGACUGUGCAGUAUGUAUCAGGGGCCAUGCAGGGUCCUCAGGAGACAGAGAUGGAAGGGCUAAGGAAGGAAUAUGUGGACAGAACUUUGGGUGACAUCCUACCCAGCAGCACACUUCAGAACUCCAUCCUGAUAAUUAAGCCUAAAUCUAAGUCAUUCUAGAAGAUCUCUAGAUCUUCUUUAAAAUAUCCUCUACAAUGUGCAGUAUCUAUUGAAAUUAAAUAUGUGCCUAUCCCAUGACCCAGAAAGUCCAUUUCUUGAUUUCAACUAUAGAGAAAAAACUUGUUCAAAUCACUUGCUGGUGUGAAAGGGUGUACAUUGCAGCACUAUUUGGAAAAAUGAAAAAAUUGGGGAUCAACCCAAAUAUUUACGCAUAGAUGAAUGGCUGUCAGAACUAGGCUAUAC